rnacentral:rRNA from 1 species
AGAGUGAACGCUGGCGGCAGGCCUAACACAUGCAAGUCGAGCGGCAGCGCAGUCGUAGCAAUACGAUGGGCGGCGAGCGGCGGACGGGUGAGGAACACAUCGGAAUCUACCCUGUCGUGGGGGACAACAUAGGGAAACUUACGCUAAUACCGCAUACGACCUUUGGGUGAAAGUGGGGGACCGCAAGGCCUCACGCGAUUGGAUGAGCCGAUGUCCGAUUAGCUAGUUGGCGGGGUAAUGGCCCACCAAGACGAUGAUUGGUAUCCGGCCUGAGAGGGCGCACGGACACACUGGAACUGAAACACGGUCCAGACUCCUACGGGAGGCAGCAGUGGGGAAUUUUGCGCAAUGGGGGAAACCCUGACGCAGCAACGCCGCGUGGAGGAUGAAGCCCUUGGGGUGUAAACUCCUUUCGAUCGGGAAGAUAAUGACGGUACCGAUAUAAGAAGCCCCGGCUAACUUCGUGCCAGCAGCCGCGGUAA